rnacentral:tRNA from 1 species
UCAAUUGAAACCAAAAAAAGGUUUAUUAUUGUUAAUAAUAUUAUUGAAAAUUAAACUUUCCUAUUGAA